GCGACCCCAGGUACGGCGGGACUACCCGCUGAGUUUAA
rnacentral:rRNA from 1 species